AUUGAACGCUGGCGGCAUGCCUAACACUUGCAAGUCGAACGGCAGCACAAUAAAGAUUUCGGUCUUUAUGGGUGGCGAGUGGCGGACGGGUGAGUAACGCGUAGGAAUCUGUCCUGGAGAGUGGGAUAACCCGAGGAAACUCGGGCUAAUACUGCAUGACAUUGAGAGAUCAAAAGCAGGGGACCGAAAGGCCUUGCGCUCUGGGGUGAGCCUACGUCGGAUUAGCUAGUUGGUGGGGUGAAGGCCUACCAAGGCGACGAUCCGUAGCUGGUCUGAGAGGAUGACCAGCCACACUGGGACUGAGACACGGCCCAGACUCCUACGGGAGGCAGCAGUGGGGAAUCUUGGACAAUGGGGGAAACCCUGAUCCAGCGAUGCCGCGUGUGUGAAGAAGGCCUUCGGGUUGUAAAGCACUUUAGGUGGGGAAGAAAGGUAGCGAGUGAAUAACUUUCUGCUGUGACGGUACCCACAGAAUAAGCACCGGCUAACUCUGUGCCAGCCGCCGCGGUAA
rnacentral:rRNA from 1 species